rnacentral:rRNA from 1 species
UACGGAGGAUGCGAGCGUUAUCCGGAUUUAUUGGGUUUAAAGGGUGCGUAGGCGGAUCGUUAAGUCAGUGGUCAAAUUGAGGGGCUCAACCCCUUCCCGCCAUUGAAACUGGCGGUCUUGAGUGGAAGAGAAGUAUGCGGAAUGCGUGGUGUAGCGGUGAAAUGCAUAGAUAUCACGCAGAACCCCGAUUGCGAAGGCAGCAUGCCGGCUUCCUACUGACGCUGAAGCACGAAAGCGUGGGGAUCGAACAGG